rnacentral:rRNA from 1 species
GACGAACGCUGGCGGCGUGCUUAACACAUGCAAGUCGAACGGAAAGGCCCUGCUUUUGUGGGGUGCUCGAGUGGCGAACGGGUGAGUAACACGUGAGUAACCUGCCCUUGACUUUGGGAUAACUUCAGGAAACUGGGGCUAAUACCGGAUAGGAGCUCCUGCUGCAUGGUGGGGGUUGGAAAGUUUCGGCGGUUGGGGAUGGACUCGCGGCUUAUCAGCUUGUUGGUGGGGUAGUGGCUUACCAAGGCUUUGACGGGUAGCCGGCCUGAGAGGGUGACCGGCCACAUUGGGACUGAGAGACGGCCCAGACUGCUACGGGAGGCAGCAGGGGGGAAUAUUGCACAAUGAGCGGGAGCCUGAUGCAGCAACGCCGCGUGCGGGAUGACGGCCUUCGGGUUGUAAACCGCUUUCGCCUGUGACGAAGCGUGAGUGACGGUAAUGGGUAAAGAAGCACCGGCUAACUACGUG